rnacentral:rRNA from 1 species
GAUGAACGCUGGCGGCGUGCCUAAUACAUGCAAGUCGAGCGAACGGACGAGAAGCUUGCUUCUCUGAUGUUAGCGGCGGACGGGUGAGUAACACGUGGAUAACCUACCUAUAAGACUGGGAUAAAUUCGGGAAACCGGAGCUAAUACCGGAUAAUAUUUUGAACCGCAUGGUUCAAAAGUGAAAGACGGUCUUGCUGUCACUUAUAGAAGGAUCCGCGCUGCAUUAGCUAGUUGGUAAGGUAACGGCUUACCAAGGCAACGAUGCAUAGCCGACCUGAGAGGGUGAUCAGCCACACUGGAACUGAGACACGGUCCAGACUCCUACGGGAGGCAGCAGUAGGGAAUCUUCCGCAAUGGGCGAAAGCCUGACGGAGCAACGCCGCGUGAGUGAUGAAGGUCUUCGGAUCGUAAAACUCUGUUAUUAGGGAAGAACAUAUGUGUAAGUAACUGUGCACAUCUUGACGGUACCUAAUCAGAAAGCCACGGCUAACUACGUG